rnacentral:rRNA from 1 species
AGAGUUUGAUCCUGGCUCAGGACGAACGCUGGCGGCGUGCCUAACACAUGCAAGUCGAGCGGAGACAGUGAGUAGCUUGCUAUGAGCUGUUUUAGCGGCGGACGGGUGAGUAACGCGUGAGCAACCUUUCCCAGACAGGGGAAUAACACACCGAAAGGUGUACUAAUACCGCAUAAGACCACGGUUUCACAUGGAACUGGGGUAAAAGAUUUAUCGGUUUGGGGUGGGCUCGCGUCCGAUUAGGUAGUUGGUGAGGUAACGGCCCACCAAGCCGACGAUCGGUAGCCGACCUGAGAGGGUGAUCGGCCACAUUGGGACUGAGACACGGCCCAAACUCCUACGGGAGGCAGCAGUGGGGAAUAUUGGGCAAUGGGGGGAACCCUGACCCAGCAACGCCGCGUGGAGGAAGAAGGUUUUCGGAUCGUAAACUCCUGUCCUUGGAGACGAGUAGAAGACGGUAUCCAAGGAGGAAGCCCCGGCUAACUACGUGCCAGCAGCCGCGGUAAUACGUAGG